rnacentral:misc_RNA from 1 species
AACGCACGAGACCUGCGGACCUGCGGAGGGAUCAUUAAUGAGAAACUGCCCCUCGCGGGUAGAUCUCCCACCCUUUGUAAACUUACCUUUGUUGCUUUGGCAGGCCCGUCUCCGGACCGCCGGCUUCGGCUGGCCAGUGCCUGCCAGAGGAUUCUAAAACUCUGUCUGUCAGUGUUGUCUGAGUCUACAUACAAUCGUUAAAACUUUUAACAAUGGAUCUCUAGAUCGGAAGAGCACACG